rnacentral:rRNA from 1 species
AUUGAACGCUGGCGGCAUGCCUUACACAUGCAAGUCGAACGGUAACCGGUCUACGGAAGCUGACGAGUGGAGGACGGGGGAGUAAUACAUCGGAACGGGCCUAGUGGUGGGGGAUAACUACUAGCAAGAGGGGAUAAUACCGCAUACGAUAUAAGGAAGAAAGCAGGGGAUCGCAAGACCGUGUGCCACCAGAGGGGCCGAUGGCAGCUUAGGUAGUUGGUGGGAUAAAAGCUUACCAAGCCGACGAUCGGUAGCUGGUCUGAGAGGACGAUCAGCAACACUGGGACUGAGACACGGCCCAGACUCCUACGGGAGGCAGCAGUGGGGAAUUUGGACAAUGGGCGCAAGCCUGAUCCAGCAAUGCCGCGUGCAGGAUGAAGGCCUUCGGGUUGUAAACUGCUUUUGUACGGAACGAAAAGCCCCGGGUUAAUACCCUGGGGUCAUGACGGUACCGUAAGAAUAAGCACCGGCUAACUACGUGCCAGCCGCCGCAGUAACAC